rnacentral:rRNA from 1 species
UACGAGUGCCCCGAGCGUUAUCCGGAAUCAUUGGGCGUAAAGGGUGUGUAGGUGGUUGUAUUAGUCGGCUGUCAAAGCCUGGGGCUUAACCCCAGAUCCGCGGCCGAAACGGUACGACUAGAGGGUGCGAGGGAUGUGUGGAACUCAUGGAGUAGGGGUGAAAUCCGUUGAUAUCAUGGGGAACACCGAAAGCGAAGGCAGCACAUUGGCGCAUUCCUGACACUGAAACACGAAAGCGUGGGUAGCGAAUGGG